rnacentral:rRNA from 1 species
AUUGAACGCUGGCGGCAGGCCUAACACAUGCAAGUCGAACGGUAACAGGAAGCAGCUUGCUGCUUUGCUGACGAGUGGCGGACGGGUGAGUAAUGUCUGGGAAACUGCCUGAUGGAGGGGGAUAACUACUGGAAACGGUAGCUAAUACCGCAUAACGUCGCAAGACCAAAGAGGGGGACCUUCGGGCCUCUUGCCAUCGGAUGUGCCCAGAUGGGAUUAGCUAGUAGGUGGGGUAAAGGCUCACCUAGGCGACGAUCCCUAGCUGGUCUGAGAGGAUGACCAGCCACACUGGAACUGAGACACGGUCCAGACUCCUACGGGAGGCAGCAGUGGGGAAUAUUGCACAAUGGGCGCAAGCCUGAUGCAGCCAUGCCGCGUGUAUGAAGAAGGCCUUCGGGUUUUAAAGUACUUUCAGCGGGGAGGAAGGGAGUAAAGUUAAUACCUUUGCUCAUUGACGUUACCCGCAGAAGAAGCACCGGCUAACUCCGUG